UGGUCUACGGCAUUAGGAGUUGGCUUUCUUUUAAUCUCAUUGUCCAUCAAAGAUGCUUGAUUGAAGGAGGGAGCUGUGAUAGCUAUUCUCAGUUGUCAAGUUGACUAUAUCUGGCAUGAACUACAAUCUAGACAUGGAGGGCACACUUGUGAUCAGAUCUUGAAGCAGGAAGACACACAUUUUUGAUCCAGAUUUUGAGGUGGAAUAACACAAUCUUUUGAUCCAGAUAGAAUCUCGCCUUUUUAAUCCAGGCCUUGAGGCACACCUUUAAUCUGAGCCAUACCUACUGCUGGAGGCCUACAUAAGGAAAAUGGAAGAAGGAAGUUAUUUAUUCUUUACCUGCUUGAAUUCACUUUGCCAGCACAUCCAUUGGCGCCUACUUCUUCAGGAUUCCAGUUUAUACCGAAGAGCAGCUGAGACACCCAGCCAGCCCUGAGGGACUCAGCAGGUCUUCCUAAGAAUUAUAUAACGGCCCCCAAAGCCAAGAUCAGGGCCAGCCGUGGGACACAUCUCUAAUGAGAAAUGCUGAGGAAGG
rnacentral:lncRNA from 1 species